rnacentral:rRNA from 1 species
GGGGAGUAUCGGAUUACUGGGCGUAAGCGUGCGCAGGCGGAUUGUUAAGCAAGAUGUGAAAUCCCCGGGCUUAACCUGGGAAUGGCAUUUUGAACUGGCAGUCUAGAGUGCGUCAGAGGGGGGUGGAAUUCCACGUGUAGCAGUGAAAUGCGUAGAGAUGUGGAGGAACACCGAUGGCGAAGGCAGCCCCCUGGGAUGACACUGACGCUCAUGUACGAAAGCGUGGGUAGCAAACAGGAUUAGAUACCCUGGUAGUCCACGCCCUAAACGAUGUCAACUGGUUGUUGGGGGAGUGAAAUCCCUUAGUAACGAAGCUAACGCGUGAAGUUGACCGCCUGGGGAGUACGGUCGCAAGAUUAAAACUCAAAGGAAUUGACGGGGACCCGCACAAGCGGUGGAUGAUGUGGAUUAAUUCGAUGCAACGCGAAAAACCUUACCUACCCUUGACAUGUCCGGAAUCCUGCAGAGAUGCGGGAGUGCCCGAAAGGGAAUCGGAACACAGGUGCUGCAUGGCUGUCGUCAGCUCGUGUCGUGAGAUGUUGGGUUAAGUCCCGCAACGAGCGCAACCCUCGCCCUUAGUUGCCAUCAUUCAGUUGGGCACUCUAGGGGGACUGCCGGUGAUAAGCCGCGAGGAAGGUGGGGAUGACGUCAAGUCCUCAUGCCCCUUAUGGGUAGGGCUACACACGUGCUACAAUGGCCGGUACAGAGGGCUGCGAACUUGCGAAAGUAAGCAAAUCCCAGAAAGCCGGUCUUAGUCCGGAUUGGAGUCUGCAACUCGACUCCAUGAAGUCGGAAUCGCUAGUAAUCGCGAAUCAGAAUGUCGCGGUGAAUACGUUCCCGGGCCUUGUACACACCGCCCGUCACACCAUGGGAGUGGGUUGCAAAAGAAGUGGGUAGUCUAACCUUCGGGAGGGCGCUCACCACUUUGUGAUUCAUGACUGGGGUGAAGUCGUAACAAGGUAAC